UACGUAGGGUCCGAGCGUUGUCCGGAAUUACUGGGCGUAAAGAGCUCGUAGGUGGUUUGUCGCGUUGUUCGUGAAAACUCACAGCUCAACUGUGGGCGUGCGGGCGAUACGGGCAGACUAGAGUACUGCAGGGGAGACUGGAAUUCCUGGUGUAGCGGUGGAAUGCGCAGAUAUCAGGAGGAACACCGGUGGUGAAGGCGGGUCUCUGGGCAGUAACUGACGCUGGAGGAGCGAAAGCGUGGGGAGCGAACAGG
rnacentral:rRNA from 1 species